ACCCACCUCUAGUAGGCAAGUUGUAGGCAUAGUUCCCGAUACGUCCCCGUAGGUCCGGUUAGAUUCCGAGCUAUCGCCGCUCGGCUUUUUUGCAAGAUUUCCGCUGCCGAAGGAAAUUCUGCCGCCGUCGAUUCGUACGGACGUCGUUUCCGCUCCCGCGGAAUCUGUUUUUGUUUUCCGUCCGUCGCGUCCGAUUUUCGCCGCCGUCGUUUGUUAUCAACUACCGCCGCCGUGUCUUAUCGACGGGAGUGUUGAUCCCGUUCGCGGUUUCUUUUUUAUUUAUUUUUCGCCGUCCGUCAAGUCCGUUUUUUCUUUUCGUUUCAAACUUUUUUUUUGUGAAAUCUUUUUCAUCGCUUCAAUCGUAUUAUUUAAUUUAUGUUAUUACAUAUUCGAUUUGUUUUACCGAAAAUUAUUUAUCCGUUUUUCUUAUGUUGAUUUGAUGUGUAACGUUAUUAUUGAACGCCUACAUACAGCUGUGAAACGAAGAAAACAUAAUACGUUUAAAAUAUAGUUUGUUUUUUUAUCAGCGUUAAGUACGUUCAAUACGAUUUGUUUUGCCAAACGAUAUAGGGAGAUAGCUGUUGUUUUAUUUAUUUAUACUUUUUUUGAAUGGAAAGGAAUUGAAUUCACAGGGUCUUCGGUGCUAACGAUACUGUUCAAAACAUUCACAGCUAUAAAAUAACGAAUACUCGGUUAAUGAGUCUUACAACAUCAGUCGUUACACUUGGACGAAAGGAAAUUAAAACUUUUGUGAUGUAAUGUAAAUAAGAAAACCCGGGAGAGAGCUGUUGAAUGUUUUUGUUGCACUUUAUUCUUUGGAAUGGAAUAGAAUUCAACGUGUUAUUGGUGCUAAUGAUAAUCAAAUCAAACCCAGCUAUAAAAUAAAGAAAACUUGUGGAUUGCAGAUUAAUGAAAUAACGAAUGCUCAAACACCAGUGUAGUACUGUUGUACCCAAGAGUUUGGUUAUUAUUACACUUUUCUCCUAAUAUUAUAAGAAAAAUCUUGGUAUAGUUUAUUUAUUUAAACCGUAUCAUACUGAAACGUUUUAUAUAAUGAUAAAAAUAUUUUCUUUGAUUAUGUUAUGUUUCAUAUUUGUAUACAUUAUCUUCACAUAUUUUUUAAGCUUAAAAGCACAAAUAUGCUAUGAUUACAAGAAACUUCCACACUCUGUCUUUCAUAAAUUAUUUAUGUUUUUAUAUAUUCAUUCUGUAUAUUUUUUUUAAAUAUUGUCGAUGAGUACUUUUAUGUUCUAUGAAUGUGAGAAAGGGGUUGGCGACCUCCACGUGGUCUUUCUUGGAUGCGUUUUUCACUGAGAAUGAUUAUAGUGUAAAACGUAACUAACGCCAACAUUUAUAUAUACACACCUAUUAUAGAGUAUUCACUUAUUCUCAAAUUUUUUUUUUCAGUUAACAUCAAGGAAGGUCUUACUCCAUUUUUAUAGUUUUUUGUCUACAGACUCGCUUUGUAUAUAUAUUCAUUAUUUAUUAUUGAAAAAAUACUUUUUAUGCAUUAGGUCUUCUUACUUUGAACCGACUGUACUGUAUUUGAAAGGUUUUUUUAUAUUGAUAAUUUCAUAUCUAAAAAAAAUGUCAAGUUCUCUAGCGUUUAUGAUACUUAUAAAUUGUUGUAUCUAAAAUACUUUUCAUAAAAGUGUCCCUUCGGUAAGUUAAGUUAUGGAAGAAGACACAUAUAAUGCUUUUGUAAUCAUAAAUAUAUAUUUUAUUCUGUAAUUGAAAUAUCAAAAUCUAUAUGCAUA